rnacentral:rRNA from 1 species
UCCGUAGGUGAACCUGCGGAGGGAUCAUUACCGAGUUUACAACUCCCAAACCCAAUGUGAACGUUACCAAACUGUUGCCUCGGCGGGAUCUCUGCCCCGGGUGCGUCGCAGCCCCGGACCAAGGCGCCCGUCGGAGGACCAACCAAAACUCUUAUUGUAUACCCCCUCGCGGGUUUUUUUAUAAUCUGAGCCUUCUCGGCGCCUCUCGUAGGCGUUUCGAAAAUGAAUCAAAACUUUCAACAACGGAUCUCUUGGUUCUGGCAUCGAUGAAGAACGCAGCGAAAUGCGAUAAGUAAUGUGAAUUGCAGAAUUCAGUGAAUCAUCGAAUCUUUGAACGCACAUUGCGCCCGCCAGUAUUCUGGCGGGCAUGCCUGUCCGAGCGUCAUUUCAACCCUCGAACCCCUCCGGGGGGUCGGCGUUGGGGAUCGGCCCUGCCUUGGCGGUGGCCGUCUCCGAAAUACAGUGGCGGUCUCGCCGCAGCCUCUCCUGCGCAGUAGUUUGCACACUCGCAUCGGGAGCGCGGCGCGUCCACAGCCGUUAAACACCCAACUUCUGAAAUGUUGACCUCGGAUCAGGUAGGAAUACCCGCUGAACUUAAGCAUAUCAAUAAGCGGAGGA